AUUGAACGCUGGCGGCAUGCCUUACACAUGCAAGUCGAACGGUAACAGGUCUUCGGAUGCUGACGAGUGGCGAACGGGUGAGUAAUACAUCGUAACGUGCCUAGUAGUGGGGGAUAACUACUCGAAAGAGUGGCUAAUACCGCAUGAGAUCUACGGAUGAAAGCAGGGGAUCGCAAGACCUUGUGCUACUAGAGCGGCCGAUGGCAGAUUAGGUAGUUGGUGGGAUAAAAGCUUACCAAGCCGACGAUCUGUAGCUGGUCUGAGAGAACGAUCAGCCACACUGGGACUGAGACACGGCCCAGACUCCUACGGGAGGCAGCAGUGGGGAAUUUUGGACAAUGGGCGCAAGCCUGAUCCAGCAAUGCCGCGUGCAGGAUGAAGGCCUUCGGGUUGUAAACUGCUUUUGUACGGAACGAAAAGCCCUGGGUUAAUACCCUGGGGUCAUGACGGUACCGUAAGAAUAAGCACCGGCUAACUACGUGCCAGCCGCCGCUGUAAAAC
rnacentral:rRNA from 1 species